ensembl:lncRNA
GAGAGCGGUGGGGCAGGAACGAGAGAUGAGGGGGUCGGGAAGGAGAGAAAUAUAGAGCAAGAAAGAGAGGUCAUGAGCCCAUGGGCCCCUGAGUUCUUCAAAAAUUAAAUUUUGAAUUAAAGUUAUAAACUUGGAUUUUGUCACAAGGAUUUAUACAGGAUACUAACCUCCACAUCAAAACCUUCAAUCCAAAUCGAAAUUCCAUACGUAAAACCUUGAUUUUGGACAAAAUUAACUGAAUGGAUUAUUACUAAAAAAGACUAUCAAGAAAAAAACUUCCAACAAACCAAAAUCUGCAGAAGAAACACAGUGGAACCUGGAAAUACCAUCCAACACAAAACUGAAUGAACGGGGUACCUUCAGGCGUUUGGAAAUUGCUCCCAAGGAUGAACCAGACACGUGGAGUUCUUGGCUGAUUUAUUUUGAUUUUCCCAAGCAAAGAGGCACUGAGAUUGAAGGUACGCCUUGAAAUACAUCCACAGGUACACCUCCAAUUGACUCAAAUGAUGUCAAUUAGCCUAGCAGAAGUUUCUAAAGCCAUGACAUAAUUUUCUGGAGUUUUCCAAGCUGUUUAAAGGCACAGUCAGCUUAGUGUAUGUAAACUUCUGACCCACUGGAAUUGUGAUACAGUGAAUUAUAAGUGAAAUAAUCUAUCUGUAAACAAUUGUUGGAAAAAUUACUUGUGUCAUUGUAACGGCUGUUGGAAGGAGAAGACCAAGGUGCAGAGUGGUAUGUGUCCAUAUUUAUUAAAUGAACACGGGAAAAAAAAACAACAACACAGAGAACGACCGAAACAGUUCUGGCUGGUGCAGACACACAACAGAAAACAAUCACCCGCAACCAAAAUAGGGAAAACAGGCUAAGUAUGAUUCUCAAUCAGAGACAACGAUCAACAGCUGCCUCUGAUUGAGAACCGUACCAGGCCAAACACAGAAAUACAACAUAGACAAAAGAACAUAGACUAACCACCCCAACUCACGCCCUGACCAGACUAACACAAAGACAUAAUAAAGAAACUAAGGUCAGAACGUGACAGUCAUGCACAAGAAGAUGUCUUAAUUAACUGACUUAACAAAACGAUAGUUUGUUAACAAUACAUUUGGAGUGGUUGAAAAGCUAGUUUUAAUGACUCCAACCUAAGUUUUCUUUUUCUUUUUUUUCCCACCUUUAUUUAACCAGGUAGGCUAGUUGAGAACAAGUUCUCAUUAACAACUGCGGCCUGGCCAAGAUAAAGCCAAGAUAAAGCAAAGCAGUGUGAAGCAGUGUGAACAGACAGCAACACAGAGUUACACAUGGAGUAAACAAUAAACAAGUCAAUAACACAGUAAAAAAAAUUAAAAAAAGAGUCUAUAUACAUUGUGUGCAAAAGGCAUGAGAAGGUAGGCGAAUAAUUACAAUUUAGCAGAUUAAAACCUCUAAGAGCUCCCUCCCUACUUUGUGCAAUUUCUGCCUGAAGACAUACCCAAAUCUAACAGCCUGUAGCUCAGGCACAGAACCAAGGAUAUGCAUAUUCUUGGUACCAUUUGAAAGAAAACACUCUGAAGUUUGUGUAAAUGUGAAUUGGAUGUGGGAGAAUAUAACACAAUAGAUCUGGUUUAGAUAAAACAAUGGAAAAAAACAUACGUUUUUUAUUUUUAUUUUUGUAUCAUCAUCUUUAAAAUGAACAAGAUAAAACAAACAUUCAGACAGGAUGAUGGGGCCAAUUUCAGUGAAAACUAUAAGAGGGCAACCGUACUUGUGCAAAGUUUCAGAAUGAUAACUUCCAAAAUGAGUGUGCUUACAUGACAUUUAUCAUGAAGUCACCCAGGUGUCCCACACAAGUAGCCCAAAUGUACCCAAGUGGCCAAAUUGGUGAAGGUAUACAUUUUGAAACAAAUAACUAUAUACAAAAUACCAAAAUGGUAUUCUAACACACACCCCCCCCAAAAACUGUGAAAAAGAAAUGAAAAAAAAAAAUUGGAAAAAAAAAAAAUAUUGAUAAGAAAAUAUAUGAAAAAAGAUAUAUACAUUUACAAAAUAACAUGGGUAACUAUUUACACACUUUCAAUAUUUGGAAGACGCUCAGUCCUCUAUCAAAUCAAAUCUAUUUACAUAGCCCCAGCCUAAAACCCCAAACAGCAAGCAAUGCAGGUGUAGAAGCACGGUGGCUAGGAAAAACUCCCUAGAAAGGCAAAAACCUAGGAAGAAAACUAGAGAGGAACCAGGCUAUGAGGGGUGGCCUGUCCUCUUCUGGCUGUGCCGGGUGGAGAUCACAGUGGUUGUAGAGGGUGCAACAGGAGAGCACCUCAAGAGUAAAAAUGAACAGUUUAGGGUUCCAUAGCCGCAGGCAGAAUAGUUGAAACUGGAACAGCAGCAAGGCCGGGUGGACUGGGGACAGCAAGGAGUCAUCAUGGCAGGUAGUCCUGAAGCAUGGUCCAAGUGCUCAGGUCCUCCGAGAGAAAGAAGGAGAGAAAGAGAGAGGAGACUUAAAUUCACACAAGACACCGGAUAAGCCAGGAAAAGUACUCCAGAUAUAACAUACUGACCCUAGCCCCCACCCACUUUGCCAUAUAACCCCACCAACUUUGCCAAAACUCUGGACAAUAUUCUGCUGCUGAUGCCAGAUGCCAUAGCAGUCUCUUUCUGACGUAAAGCAGAGGGUCACUGAGCAUGUGGUGCAUGUGAUGGGAGACUUCAUCUUGCAAACAACACAGCAACGCCUCCAUGUUGUGCCCUUAGGCAUAUCCAUGCCUGCACAAAUAUAUUUGGGCAGAUGAACACUUGUGGCAGGAGCAGAAGGGACAGGGCUUGGUGCAGUGGUGCUGUAGCCAGCAAGCUCCUUGAUGCUCCCUCUAAUGUAGACUGAUUGGAGGAAGCAUGCUGGCUGCGUUGAGAUGUAUGGGUUUGCAUUCUACACCAUACCAUUUUUAUAUAUAUCUAUAUCGAUAUAGAUAUAUAUAUAUAUACACACACACACAGACAUGGGCUAUGGUCGUUCUCAUAUAAACAAACAGACCUUCACUCACAAUGACUAGCUAACGUGUACUUUACCCAUUUCAUUACAUCUUUAUACAUUGCAAAUAAAAUGUAAAAACAAUCAAAAAUAAUAUUUUAUAUUAAUUUCAAACAAUGGCAUUAGCAUGAGAGCAACUUACCAGUCCAAAACAAUGUCCUCUCCGUUCAAAAAAUAUGCCUCAGUUUCAGAGUCAUCAAAAAGCAGAUCUGUCUCACUUUCCUCUAAAAUUGUUUCUACAUUCGUAUAUCUAGUCUUAGAAUUUGCUUUCCUUGACUUAUUCGCCAUGAUGUUGGAUACAUAAACAGCUGAAGAUGCAAGUCACCGAAAUACUGCUGUGCGUAAUAAGCGUUGCUCCUUCACGGUUGAAUUGGCAAUGGUGAAAGAAUGGUCCUUACGCCAGCGUUCAACGGAAAGGUUUGUCUUUCAACAAAGAAGCAUGGGAUAAUGCCGCUUACCUCUGCUCAUUGGCUAUCUACCCAGCUAGAUUUCAAGACUAUCAGUGGUCAUUGGGUUAAAAUACAGUCAAUCAAUGAGACAGUGGUCAUAUAAUUGGUGCACAAUGGGCUCGUCACUUGUUGUCUUCCAAUUGUUUUUUCCGGGUCAAUACGUCCCGCAAAAUUACCCAUCAUGUUUGGUUGUGUUACAAACAAACAGCUGAUUGCAAGGAAACCAAACUUGACUGGAUAAAGUCAGGGAAAGUCGCUCUAUUUUAAGUUGGAUGUUAUGUUGAAAAUUGAAUGACACGAAAUUCAACGAGAUAAGCGUUCACAAAAUGUUUCGUGUUAGGCUAUAAAAAAUGGAGUUAACCAAACAAAAGACCAUUCAUUGUGUAACAAUGAGCCUUGGGAUUGCAACCAGAGCAAGAUCUUCAAAGGUAAAUGAUUUAUUUCAAUGCAAUCUGUGAUUUUGAUAUGCAAGUGCUGGUUGAAUAAGUCGUUUGAUAUGGGGGUCUGUGCUCAGAUAAUCGCAGCGUAUUCUUUCGCAAUAAUUCAUUUUUUAUAUCUGACAACGCAGUUGGAUUAGCAAGAUUCUAGGCUUUCGAACCAUGUGAGACAUUUGUAUUUUCAUGAAUGUUUAAUAUGACUAUUUAUGUAGCGAUCACCGUAUGUUGUCAAAUUUAAUCCCGGUGGGUUCGGUGCGCAGAGGUUAACACUGGAGUGAUAAAAGAUCAGAUGGUCAUGUGCAGGUAGAGAUACUGGUGUGCAAAAGAGCAGAAAAGUAAAUAAAUAAAAACAGUACGAGGAUGAGGUAGGUAAAUUGGGUGGGCUAUUUACCGAUGGACUAUGUACAGCGGCAGCGAUUGGUUAGCUGCUCAGAUGGCAGAUGUUUAAAGUUGGUGAGGGAGAUAAAAGUUUUUGCAAUUCGUUCCAGUCACAGGCAGCAGAGAACUGGAAGGAAAGGCGGCCAAAUGAGGUGUUGGCUUUCGGGAUGAUCAGUGAGAUACACCUGGUGGAGCGCGUGCUACGGGUGGGUGUUGCCAUCAUGACCAGUGAACUGAGGUAAGGCGGAGCUUUACCUAGCAUGGACUUGUAGAUGACCUGGAACCAGUGGGUCUGGCGACGAAUAUGUAGCGAGGGCCAGCCGACUAGAGUAUACAGGUUGCAGUGGUGGGUGGUAUAAGGUGCUUUAGUAACAAAGCGGAUGGGAUUGUGAUAAACUGCAUCCAGUUUGCUGAGUAGAGUAUUGGAAGCCAAUUUGUAGAUGACAUCGCCAAAGUCAAGGAUCGGUAGGAUAGUCAGUUUUACUAGGGUUUGGCGGCGUGAGUGAAGGAGGCUUUUUUGCAAAAUGGAAAGCCGAUUCUAGAUUUGAUUUUGGAUUGGAGAUGUUUGAUAUGAGUCUGGAAGGAGAGUUUACAGUCUAGCCAGACACCUAGGUACUUAUAGAUGUCCACAUAUUCUAGGUCGGAACCAUCCAGGGUGGUGGUGCUAGUCGGGUGUGCGGGUGCAGGCAGCGAACGGUUGAAAAGCAUGCAUUUGGUUUUACUAGCGGUUAAGAGCAGUUGGAGGCCAUGGGAGGAGUGUUGUAUGGCAUUGAAGCUCGUUUGGAGGUUAGAUAGCACAGUGUCCAAGAAAGGGCCAUAAGUAUACAGAAUGGUGUCGUCUGCGUAGAGGUGGAUCAGGGAAUCGCCCGCAGCAAGAGCAACAUCAUUGAUAUAUACAGAGAAAAGAGUUGGCCCGAGAAUUGAACCCUGUGGCACCCCCAUAGAGACUGCCAGAGGACCGGGCAACAUGCCCUCCGAUUUGACACACUGAACUCUGUCUGCAAAGUAGUUGGAGAACCAGGCAAGGCAGUCAUUAGAAAAACCGAGGCUACUGAGUCUGCUGAUAAGAAUAUGGUGAUUGACAGAGUCGAAAGCCUUGGCCAGGUCGAUGAAGACGGCUGCACAGUACUGUCUAUUAUCGAUGGCGGUUAUGAUAUCGUUUAGUACCUUUAAUGUGGCUGAGGUGCACCCGUGACAGGCUCGG